rnacentral:lncRNA from 1 species
UUACACAACAUAGAAUUCCUCAGGCACCGGUCCUUGGUUUUUUGGCUAAAAAAUCUAGUGUUAGAAUCACCCAACUUCAGCCAAUUCACUCUUGAACAUUGCCUGAGCUCUAUCUCCUCCCUUUCAAGCAGAUCCCGAAGUGUUAACUUCUCUUCAACCAGCUUCUGUUGUAACUCAUGGCUAUCUGGAUCCUCUGUCAGUUUUAAGACUUUCUCCCCUAUUGAUUUUCUG